UUUAACCUUUCAGACGCGGUCUUGACGACGUGGUGCAGGAGCAGUACCCGACUAUGAGGUUGGAAAUUUCGUUCAGAGUGGGAGAUUGUCAGCAGCCUUGGCCUCCCCUGAGGAGUGUCCAUUUUCUCAAGUUCUAGAAAGGAGUGCUGGAGUGCAGCUUGUGCUUGCG